rnacentral:lncRNA from 1 species
AUGUAUAAGGGCAAAACAUGUAAGCGUAUUCACUUCAGUUGCUUCUUGAUUCACAGAUAUCUUCUUUUCCUUAAACUAUACUUCCAGGUUUGGAGCCAGAUGCAAAAGCAAAAGCAAGACAAAAAGCGCCCAAAAUCCAUAGGAAUCUCUAGAGAAAUGAAAGCUGCAGUUUGCUGAAGUGCUGCCCCCGUUUCCCUGCUUUACAACUGCCUUAGCAAGAAAGAAAAAGAGGAGGAGGAAACAGAAGAAAGAAGAGGAAGAAGUCCCGAAUACCUCACAAGGCUCAGGUCAGUUGGCACCUGUUGUAAACAUUUCUCUGGCCUUCUCUCUUCUCCUUCCUGGGAGAAGAAUUGAUUACUCUGAUUUCUGCGUUUUCAUUAUGUUCUUAUUCCUACUUCCUUUACUGUUUAUAUCACUUUUCAUAGCCAUUUACAGGAUUCACUAAACUAUGACCUGCCCAAGCGUUGAGGUGAUACCAUAUUUUGUUGAUAUUUCUACUAGAAAUACUACACUGUAGAGUUCUAAAAGUUUGGUGUGUGAAUAACAAGAGACUGCUU